GAGGCCCCCUAUGAGCUUUUAAAUUCUAAGGAAUAAGACAUAAACAUGUGUAAGAGGUUCACUCUACCUCUAUUGACCAUCUCAGCUUAAUUUUAUCAACUGUCAACCUAUUUCCUUACACUGUCAACCUGACAGAUGUCCUUUUAUUUCCAUAAAGGUAUUCAAAUUUAGUGGUGCAGUCUCCAAGCAGAUUUCUAAAGAACCAGGACAUUUGAGGAACAGUAAGUUCUGACCUUUAAUAGCAGCCACAGGCUUCAUUCUUCAUAUUUUCCAAAAACCACACCCGCCCGCUGGAGUAGAUAGCUCAGUGUGGUUGGACGGACUCACUGUGCCUUGGGAGUUCUUAAUCCCGGAGCAUCGAAUGUUUUCUUCUUCUCUGCCAUCUCCUUCAUAUCCUAUCCUUCUCCAUGUAUUUCAUCCUAAAAUUAUAAAGAUUUGUGGUGUGAAUUUCAUUAUUCCAUUGAAGAUGCAACUGGCAUCAGUGACUGGAAUGUUUUUUAUGCUUCAUACUGCAUCUCCCGAAUCCACCAACACAUUCUUUUUACAGCCCUUUUGAGGCUUGGUGUUAGGCCAGGCAAGGUGUUGGCCGUGGGGAGGCUGAGUCCUAGAAUUAUUAGGUAACAUCAUAUGGAGACUGGCUGCCAGCUUGGCACACCUAUUACUGCACACUACAUUAUACCAAUCUUUUGGAAUGAACGUGGAAGGCAUUACAAUUAGAAAAUUAGAGAUAAGAAUGGAGAUUUUUCAUCCAUCCUUAUGUCAGGAAAGCUAGUAAGAGAGAAAUUUGAUGUUCCCGAAAGACCCAUAUAUUUCAGCAGAACUUAUUUCAGAAAACAGCCUGCACUCCACUUCUUUAAAAAUGAAACUUUAAAAUUUACCCUUUAUUUUUUUUUCUUAAUAAUUUAAAGCCUAGUCCAGGGAUUGCCAAGCCUUUUUUGUAAAAGGCCAGAUAGUAAAUAUUUUAGGCUUCACCACCCAUGGGUCCUUAUUGCAACUAGUCAGCUUUGCAGCUAUCAACUCUGUCGUUCUAGGGCCAGAGCAGCCACAGACGGUAUCUAAAUGGAUGAGCAAGGCUGUGUUCCAAUACAUUUUAUUUACAAAAACAGACAGUUGGGCCAAAUUCGCCCCAUAGGCCAUAGUUUGCCACCCCUUGGGUCUAGUUCACCAUUAUGCUUUGUACAUUUUUAGGUUGAAAGUUAAGUAUUGACCAAUAUAAAUCAAAGAGGAAUGUUUAAAUUCUGCCCCACCCCCUCUUUGCCAAUGGUAGCCUUAUUCUCCUUUAACUAAUUUUACUUAAAAGUCUGAAAUUUCUGUACUAAGCAUGCCAAGAAAUUAAGAAACAGUUUGGAGUGACAAUGCUCAACUAAAUGUUCCUUUUAAAUUUACUACUGAACUUUUUUAAAUCAUAGAAUUUUCACUGUUGCUUCAGCAAACAGAAUGACACAUGGAGGUCUUGAUGUAGUGUGAAAUCACCUGAGUUGAAAAGUCAGGCCAGACGUUGCACAGCAAGAAUCCAUAGUGAGUGCGCUGCUGCUCUGUGGGCAGUGAGACUCUGCUCGCUGGGCCCAGCGAGGAGGGAAGAAAGCUUGGGAGGAGUGAUCAGCUUUGCUUUUGUGAUGAUCGCAGGCCACAGUUAAGUCCAUUUGUAUUCUAAACUUUGACAUCCCCACUGCAUUCAUUUUCUAAAAUUGACACUUUUCCACAUGCAAAGUAAUUUGAGAUCCUGGUUCAGGCCGAGGACUGUCCACGACUAUUCUCAGGCAAUUGCUGCCCUAAAAGGCCAUUGAGGAUCUAGGCUAGUCCAGUGGAGCUAAUGACUGUAAAAGAUGGUCAUGCCCACAAAUUAUCAAGGGCCCUUUGGAGAAAUUUGGAGUUGGAGUUGGGGGAUGAGGUGAAGUGGGUGUGUAAACACCCCACGGUGAAUGAUCACUCCUGUGACUUAAAAGCUUUUUAGCAGGGACGUGGGGCCCCUUCUUCUCUUCCAAACUUCUACUCAUCCUUCAAGCUCAGAUGUCACUGCUCCUAAUGAAAUCGUCCCAGGCUCCUCCAUUUAGACUUCUUGUUUUUCUCUAUUGAUUCUUUAACACUUGUAGCCAGCCUCUUCAAUCACUCUUAGAGCCUGCCCCUCCCCACUUUGUUUAUUUCUCCCACUGUGGAAUCUCCUUAGGUCUAGCACGUAUAUGGGGCCAGGGCCAUCAGUAUUUACUGGAAACAAAUAGAUUUUCUGCUUUCAUUCUAUGAGGCUUAAAAUCUUGAAUUGGACUACAGAAAACUACAGUAUAGAUAAGAGUAUUCAUGCCCGUAAAUAACUUUAAGUGACAUAAAUCAUAUUUAAAAUGCAAUUUUAGUGAUUGAAGAAAAUAUUUUACAAUUAGAGGGCUUGUUUAAUAUAAAUUAUUGGUAUAUUUGGUAAUUUUGAAUGUUCGCUUAUUCUUUUCUUACAAUAGAUGUAUUAGCAUCUGCUUUUCAAAGAGAGUAAAAAAUGAAAACUUGAAAGCAUUUUAAAGUACUCUCUAAAAAUCCCAAAGUUUUUCUUAUCUUUUAAAAUUAAACUCUCAAUUCUAGUUAUUAGUGUUGAAAAAGGUGGAGGAAUGCUUAAUUAAAUUUGAUAAAUAUCUUUUGUUUUAUGCAAGUGAACUGCCUGUUGGCAGCAAUGGGGAAAAGAUAAUAUAUUUUGCAUAUAAAUAUUCAUGGCUGGGCCAAAAACAGCCCAAAGAAUCCUGACAAGCUUUGUAAGGCUCAUAACACUGCUUAGCAGAGGUCAGAAUGAAGGAAGACUUCUUCAGGAAAACAAUGCCUUACUGUUUAGCUUUCAGGAGAUGCCAGUUAUAGUGAGUGGUAGGAGGUGAGCUGGGGUUAUGAUGAAAAUGAGAAUAUUUAGAAACAUGUAAUUGUUGCUUGUUGCCAUAUAAAAUACCAAUACAUGUUUCCAGCUAUCCUCUCCUAUAAUAAUCUCCCUCUUCUUCCUACUUGAAUUGCCUGUGGAAUUGAAUGGAAUAGAAUAAUGAGAUUGCCUCUACUUUUUAAUGACAUCAGGCUUCUUUCUGUGGAAACGAAUGUGAAUGUGCAGUUGAAGAGAGAUAACUGUAAGUCAAGAUAUAAAGAAAAAAAUGCUGAUGAUUGUACAAACAGUAUAUGAACAGUUUGUUCUUACAUUUUGUCUAUUUUGUGUAAGAUGCAAAUAAGAUUAGAUAUCUGUAUUUUUAUGUCCAUUUGUUUGUUAGAGACUGACCAAACUUUUCAGUCAUAGAAAGUUUAUCUCUUCAUAUGUGUGUUUACUACUUAUGUUGAUUGGGGAAUGAGGGGUUCUUGAAUUUGGCUUUAGAUAUAUGCUCCCAUAAUGGAAUGAGCUUCUUUAAAUGGAUAGAGGAGCUCUAAGAUGUUUUCUGUUUGCUUGUUUGUUCACAAGCUGAAAAAUGUGUUGAUGGGUCUCUACUCAUUUCAAGAAAAAGAAGAUGUUUUUUAAAUGUUUUCUUUUUUUUCUUUCUGUUAUCUUAAUGUUUUCUUCUUUAGAGAAAUAAAUUGGAUCUUGCCAGUUUCCUUGUUACCCUAUUGUUUCCCACUAUCCUUAUCAAUAUAGACAUUGCUUUACCUUUCGUUUUCCAAGUGUAAGCCUUUUCCUGUUGCUUUUUGCUGUUGGUUAGCAAGUCUAAAUGCUGAGCAUUUGUUCUGGCUGAAGCUGUACUUGGUACAUUGGCCCAGUUUCAAACGGUUCUUCUUAUCGUACAUGGUGCAAUUGGUUCUCUGGAAUGUGUGUGUGAGAAGUUCAGUCAUGGGGAGGGACCCUUCCUUUUGGAAUGGUAAAUCCUGUGCAGGUUUCCGAGCUGUUCUAUAGAAUAUAAUUCAUUCAGUUUGGUGUAUGCUAGGCAUUAUCUGGUGCUUAAGCUGUUAAGUGACAAAAUCCACUUAGUAUGUUUGAUUUCUUAUGACUGUAGAAUUAGUCUCUCCUUAAAAAACAAACAAACAAA